UAUGCGGCCGUUCAAUCAGUUCGUUGUCGUGGUGUCUUGUUCUUUCAUGGUUGAUCGCUGUCAGUUGUAUUACAUCUCUUACAAAGGGAAUAUUCAGAUCAUUGUGAAUAGUGUGAUUACUGACAUACCAGGAUAACACAGAAUUGAUAAGAGUAACGAUUUUAAAUGCCCUUGCUAGAAGUGCAACUUCUACAUGAAGCAUUUAUACAGGGUGUUCAUAAACUCUCCUGACAAACGAAGACUGAAGAUUCCUCAGAUUAUUUCAUUCAUAGGAAAUUCUGACCAAUAGAAAGCUACAGAAAUCUAAAUUAAAUAGAUCAUUUUUGAUAAUUUCCCGUCGUCAAGUAUAUUACGUCAGAUGCCCUUCGUUGCUACGAAAAAAUACAUUCAGUGACGUUAAUGACAAUUAAUGUUUUAAAAAUUAUAAACGUGAUGACUUUCAACCGUCAAAUUAAUAUUUAUAACAACUGUUUGUUUAAUUGUACUAAUUUGUACUUACAUAAAUAAAUUACAAUAAAAUUUUG